GGCACUUUGGCGGAGUGGUUAACGCGAUGCCCUGCUAUAGAUGUGUAAAAGUCUUAGUCCAGGCAUUUCCUUCGGGAGCGUGUGUUCGAAUCACACAGGUGUCG